UUUGUAUUACGUGCGGAAAUUGUUACCAUUUUUGAGCCGAAAAUGGUAACAAUUACCGCACGUAAUACAAA
rnacentral:miRNA from 1 species